CGUGUAGGCGGUUGGUCAAGUCGGGUGUGAAAGCCCGGGGCUCAGCCCCGGAAGUGCAUCCGAAACUAGCCAGCUAGAGCGCGAUAGAGGAGGGUGGAAUUCCUGGUGUAGCGGUGAAAUGCGUAGAUAUCAGGAGGAACACCGGCGGCGAAGGCGGCCCUCUGGAUCGUUGCUGACGCUGAGACGCGAAAGCGUGGGGAGCAAACAGGAUUAGAUACCCUGGUAGUCCACGCCUUAAACGAUGGGUACUAGGUGUUCGGGGUGUUGACCCCCUGAGUGCCGCAGUUAACGCAUUAAGUACCCCGCCUGGGACUACGGCCGCAAGGUUAAA
rnacentral:rRNA from 1 species